rnacentral:rRNA from 1 species
UGGGGCUUCGGUUCCAUGAGAGUGGCGCACGGGUGCGUAACACGUAUGUAACCUACCCUUGCCAGGGGGAUAGCCUCUCGAAAGAGAGAUUAACACCGCAUAACAUAUAGGGGCAGCAUUGCCUUUAUAUCAAAUAUUUAUAGGGCGAGGAUGGGCAUGCGCAGCAUUAGCUUGUUGGCGGGGUAACGGCCCACCAAGGCUACGAUGCUUAGGGGAUCUGAGAGGAUGGCCCCCCACACUGGUACUGAGACACGGACCAGACUCCUACGGGAGGCAGCAGUAAGGAAUAUUGGUCAAUGGGCGCAAGCCUGAACCAGCCAUGCCGCGUGCAGGAAGACGGCCCUACGGGUUGUAAACUGCUUUUACAGGGGAAUAAACCCCCGGUAGAUACCGGGGCUGAAUGUACCCUGGGAAUAAGGAUCGGCUAACUCCGUGCCAGCAGCCGCGGUAAUACGGAGGAUCCGAGCGUUAUCCGGAUUUAUUGGGUUUAAAGGGUGCGCAGGCGGCCUGCUAAGUCAGGGGUGAAAUCGGAUGGCUCAACCAUCCCAGUGCCCUUGAUACUGGCGGGCUUGAAUGCAGCUGAGGUAGGCGGAAUGUGGCAAGUAGCGGUGAAAUGCAUAGAGAUGCCACAGAACACCGAUUGCGAAGGCAGCUUACCAAAGUGCGAUUGACGCUCAGGCACGAAAGCGUGGGGAUCAAA